UACGAAGGGGGCUAGCGUUGUUCGGAAUUACUGGGCGUAAAGGGCGCGUAGGCGGCUGUGCAAGUCAGGUGUGAAAGCCCCGGGCUCAACCCAGGAUGUGCACUUGAUACUGCGCAGCUAGAGUGUCGGAGAGGAUGGUGGAAUUCCCAGUGUAGAGGUGAAAUUCGUAGAUAUUGGGAAGAACACCGGUGGCGAAGGCGACCAUCUGGACGACAACUGACGCUGAGGCGCGAAAGCUAGGGGAGCAAACAGG
rnacentral:rRNA from 1 species